AGUGAACGCUGGCGGCGUGCCUAAUACAUGCAAGUCGAACGGAGUGGCGCACGGGUGCGUAAUAUAUAGCUAAUCUGCCCCUUGCUGGAGGACAACAGUUAGAAAUGACUGCUAAUACUCUAUAGGAAGGGAUGAGACUAUAUCGUAUCAGCUAGUCGGUGGGGUCACGGCCUACCGAGGCUAUGACGGGUAACUGUUCUGAGAGGAUGAUCAGUCACAUGGGAACUGAGACACGGUCCAAACUCCUACGGGAGUCAGCAGUAGGUAAUAUUGCGCAAUGGGGGAAACCCUGACGCGGCAACGCCGCGUGGAGGAUGACACUUUUCGGAGCGUAAACGCCUUUUGUUAGGAAAGCGGUACCUAACGAAUAAGCACCGGCUAACUCCGUGCCAGCAGCCGCGGUAAUUC
rnacentral:rRNA from 1 species